CACGCCCUAAACGAUGCCGACUGGACGUUGGGAGGAACUCGCCUCUCAGUGUCGAAGCUAACGCGUUAAGUCGGCCGCCUGGGGAGUACGGUCGCAAGACUGAAACUCAAAGGAAUUGACGGGGGCCCGCACAAGCGGUGGAGUAUGUGGUUUAAUUCGAUGCAACGCGCAGAACCUUACCUGGCCUUGACAUCCACGGAACUUGGCAGAGAUGCCUUGGUGCCUUCGGGAACCGUGAGACAGGUGC
rnacentral:rRNA from 1 species